UUGUGGAGGCGCAAACCGACUUCAGUUGAAAAUGGAGCGGAUGACCUGUGGAUAGGGGUGAAAGGCCAAUCAAACUCGGUGAUAGCUGGUUCUCCGCGAAAUGCAUUUAGGUGCAGCGUCGUGCGUUCAACGAUGGGGGUAGAGCACUGAAUGGGCUAGGGGUCCUACAAGACUACCGACCCCAAUCAAACUCCGAAUACCAUCGUUCCAGAGCACGGCAGUGAGACCUCGGGGGAUGAGCUUCGAGGUCGAGAGGGAAACAGCCCAGACCGCCGGCUAAGGUCCCAAAAUCUGAACUAAGUGGUAAACGAUGUGAGAUUGCGAAGACAGCCAGGAGGUUGGCUUGGAAGCAGCCAUCCUUGAAAGAGUGCGUAACAGCUCACUGGUCGAGUGAUCUUGCGCGGACAAUGUAACGGGGCUCAAGUUCAGUACCGAAGCCGCGGAUGCGACUCUUUGAGUCGUGUGGUAGCGGAGCGUCGAGCGUGCAGCGAAGCGGCGGGACAACCCAGCCGUGGAGCGCGUUCGAGUGCGAAUGUUGGCAUGAGUAGCGAAUGAGGGGUAAGAACCCCCUCCGCCGUAUGUCCAAGGGUUCCUGGGCGAGGCCAAUCCUCCCAGGGUGAGUCGGGAGCUAAGGCGAGGCCGAGAGGCGUAGUCGAUGCACAACUGGUUGAUAUUCCAGUACCACCAUGUUCGCGUCCGUCCCAAUACUCUGUUGCUAAGGGGCUGUGUUGACUUCGGUCAACGCGAACCGACCCACAUUGUUGCGGGAAGCUGUAGGGGGACGCAGGAAGGUAGAUGAACCCGGUGAAUGGUAGAACCGGGGUAAGCGUGUAGGAGGAGGACCAGGUAAAUCCGGGCCUCAUAAACUCUGAGACGUGAUACCGAGCCGCUUCAGGCGAAGUCAUUGAUCCUAUGCUGCCUAGAAAAGCCCAGCAGCGAGUUGACAUGGUGCCCGUACCCCAAACCAACACAGGUGGACAGGUAGAGCAUACCAAGGCGAGUGGGAUAACUAUGGUUAAGGAACUCGGCAAAUUGCCUCCGUAACUUCGGGAGAAGGAGGACCCCAGUAGCGUGAUGAGACUUGCUCUCUGAGCGUGAAGGGGUGGCACAAAAUUGAGGGAAGCGACUGUUUACCAAAAACACAGCAGCGUGCUAAGCCGUAAGGCGCUGUAUACGCUGUGACUCCUGCCCGGUGCUGGAAGGUUACGGGGAUGGGUUAGUCCUUCGGGACGAAGCUCUGAACCUAAGCCCCAGUAAACGGCGGCCGUAACUAUAACGGUCCUAAGGUAGCGAAAUUCCUUGUCGGGUAAGUUCCGACCUGCACGAAUGGAGUAACGACUUCCCUACUGUCUCAACCAUAGACCCAGCGAAAUUGAAGUACGAGUAAAGAUGCUCGUUAGCUGCAGAAGGACGGAAAGACCCCGUAGACCUUUACUAUAACUUGAUGUUGUGUUUUGUCAU
rnacentral:rRNA from 1 species